rnacentral:rRNA from 1 species
AGAGUUUGAUCCUGGCUCAGAAUCAACGCUGGCGGCGUGCCUAACACAUGCAAGUCGAACGAGAAAGUGGAGCAAUCCAUGAGUAAAGUGGCGACCGGGUGAGUAACACGUGACUAACCUACCCUUGAAUGGGGAAUAACCUUCCGAAAGGAGGGCUAAUACCGCAUAACGUCCUAAGGAUGAAACGCCUAAGGACCAAAGGAGCAAUUCGUUUAAGGAGGGGGUCGCGGUUGAUUAGCUAGUUGGUGGGGUAAUGGCCCACCAAGGCGAUGAUCAAUAGCCGGCCUGAGAGGGCGCACGGCCACACUGUGAACUGAAACACGGUCCAGACUCCUACGGGAGGCAGCAGUGGGGAAUUUUGCGCAAUGGGGGAAACCCUGACGCAGCAACGCCGCGUGGAGGAUGAAGGUCUUUGGAUUGUAAACUCCUUUCGAUCGGGAAGAUGAUGAC